GACGAACGCUGGCGGCGUGCCUAAUACAUGCAAGUCGAGCGAAUCAAUGGGAGCUUGCUCCCGGAGAUUAGCGGCGGACGGGUGAGUAACACGUGGGCAACCUGCCUGUAAGACUGGGAUAACUUCGGGAAACCGGAGCUAAUACCGGAUAGUUUCUUCCCUCUCCUGAGGGAAGAUGGAAAGACGGCAUCUCGCUGUCACUUACAGAUGGGCCCGCGGCGCAUUAGCUAGUUGGUGAGGUAACGGCUCACCAAGGCGACGAUGCGUAGCCGACCUGAGAGGGUGAUCGGCCACACUGGGACUGAGACACGGCCCAGACUCCUACGGGAGGCAGCAGUAGGGAAUCUUCCGCAAUGGACGAAAGUCUGACGGAGCAACGCCGCGUGAGCGAAGAAGGCCUUCGGGUCGUAAAGCUCUGUUGUUAGGGAAGAACAAGUGCCAGAGUAACUGCUGGCACCUUGACGGUACCUAACCAGAAAGCCACGGCUAACUACGUGCCAGCCGCCGCGGUAACAC
rnacentral:rRNA from 1 species